CCAGCUGUUCUGGCCGAGCGUGCAUCUCCCAUUGCCAUUGCACAGAUCGGGGCAGCCAUCUGGUUGAAGAAAUGAGGAAGGUAUUUUAAAAGCACCGAGGAACUAAUGGGCACCCUACCAGAGUGUGGAUAAUCUUUUCAUCAGCACAGAUGCAGAUGUGCAGUACUGGAGAAAGACCAAGAUGACAGGAAGUCACCUCUGUGCCCCUUGGCCUCUGCAGCAGCCUUGGCCAUAACCAGGUGAUGUUAGAGAGAAGUUCCUCUGACCCCGUACUGGUUUCCACAGUGCCACAGGAGGCUCCCUUGUGGGAAAGCGAGCUGCCUCGUAUCCCUGCUAUUCACAACUGGUAUCACAAGAGAUGAUCACGUGAAAAUUAUUUCAAAUGUGAACCGGCACAAGCAAGGUAGUUGAACAAAACACAUGGUGCGCAGAAGGACACUGCUGCAGCCGAAAAGCUACAGAAGAGCUGCAUGGAUUUGUCAUCGCCUGAGAAUAUUAUUUGCAUGAUUUUGAACAAGAGCUAAAACAUGACACUAGCAGCAUAUUCUAAUUAUACAAUGUACUCUUUUCAAACAAGAUUCACAUUCAGCCCAUAUUCAUAUAUCCAAAAAAAAGAUACAUAAAAAUGCAGUAAAAUUUGUACUUAAGAUAACUGGGUCUUUCGAAUUAAUCUUACCGUAACAAAAUCCAUUUGGAAUAUAACACUGGAUGAAAUUGUAUUCAUAAAACAAGUACCAUAUCCAUAAUUUUUUAUUGCAUUAAUGUUUCUGAUAUGGGGUACAAGGGUUUGGUAUCAUUCUUUGUAAAAUGUAGUAUCAUUUCUAGAGAAAGAAGCCUUCUCAAGUUAGGUUUAUUGCUAAACUAACAUCUAUAUAUGGGCAGCGUAAUGAUAAAAUGACCUAACAGACGGGAUGUGUAAAUUCAGUCAAUUGAAGAGUAACAAGCAAAACAUUGACCUCAUAUUUAAAAGAGCAGAUAACCUAAUUAAAAUGUAAUAGUUAAAAUCCCUACAUUAAUCUCAGUACUAUGGCAAGGAUUUUGAGUCAUUCAUUCAUAAAAGUUAGGAUUCACAUAUUAAUUGCUACUCAACGUCCUCACACACACUGUAAUUUGCUUUUUAUUAGAAAUAUGUGGUUGCCAUGUAUUUGUACAG